ensembl:lncRNA
UCAGGGAGGCUGAACCUUCCCACCAAUGCUCCGUUCCGUGUUGUUGCCAUGCAGUGAUGGCAUUCCAUGAUGGCAGCAGAGGGGCACUCUGACCAACUGCCGUCUGACACGGAAGUGCGGAUGAAGCAAAGGAGUGGAACUGAACUCCUUUGUGCAGAAAAAGUGGCACCCACUGACAUUCAGGGCUCUAGGCCCCGGGGCCAGUGCCGGCCUCACUGGAUGUGGCUGUGGCUUUAUGUCCUGGGGCUGGUGCCGGUCUUUCUUGCUGUGGAUGUGGCUUUAGGUGCAGGGCGGCUGUUGGCCUUUCUGGCUGUUGCUGGGGCUUUAGGCCCCGGGGACACUGCAGGCCUCUUGGGCUGGGGCUGUGGCUUCAGGCCACGUGGCCAGUGCUGGCCUCUGGAGUUCUGGCUGUGCCUUGAAGCCCCUGGACUGGUUCCAGCCUUUCAAGCUGUGGCUUUAGUCCCCACAGCUGGUGCCAGCCUGUCUAGCUGUGGAUGUGGCUUCAGGCCCUUGGGCUGGUGCUGGCCUCUCGGGCUGUGGCUGAGGCUUUAAGGCCCAGGGCCACAGCCAGCCACUCGGGUUGUGGCUUUAUGCCCUAGGGCUGGUGCCAGUCUGUCUGGCUGUGUUUUUAUGCCCCAGGGCUGGUGCUGGCCUCUCUGGCUGUGGCUUUAGGCCUUGCUGCUGGUGCCAGCCUCUCUGCCUGUCGCUGUGGCUUUAAGCCUCAGGGCAGAUGCCAGCUUCCCUGCCUGUGGUUGUGGCUUUCAGCCUAGGACUGGUGCAGGCCUCUCGUGCUGGUGCUGCGGCUUUAGGCCUCCGGGCCAAUGCUAGCCUGUCUGCCUAUGGCCUUAGGCCCUGGGCCGGUGUAGGCCUCUCAGGAUGUGGCUUUUGGCCCAAAGACUGCUCGUGGCCUCUGUGGCUGUGGCUUUAGGCCUUGGUGCUGGUGCCAGCCUCUCUGCCUGUGGCUUUGGCUUUAGGCCUUGGGCUGGUGCUGGCCUCUCGGGCUCAGGCUGGGGUUUUAGGCUCCUGGGUCAGUGCUGGCCUGCCUGCCUAUGGCUUCAGGCCCUGGGCUGGUAUAGGACUGUCGGCCUGUGUCUUUUGGCUUCAGGGCCACUGCAGGCCUCUCUGGCUGUGGCUUUAAGCCCCAUGGCCAGUGGAAGCCUCCGUGGCUGAGGCUUUAGGCCCCGGGGCGGGUGCCAGCCUCUCCUCUUGUGGCUUUAGGCCCUGGGCCUGUGCUGGCCACUCAGGCGGUGCCUUUAGGCCCUAGAGCUUGUGCUGGCCUAGAACAACGUGCAUUUUAAAAUUGGUCAUGGAAGGAAAUGAAAGCAAGAGAGCACUGAGCUCUUCUGUGUGUUUCUUGGAUUGGGAUAGAGACAGGAGAGUGUGCUCAGCCUCCCUCGUGUGGUUGCCUGUAUCCAGCAACAGCAGCCGCAGCAGAGAACAUCGUCACAUCUUUAUUAGGCGCUCCUCCGACUGUCUCUUUUUGUCUCUGUUUUCUGGAAUGCAGGCAUUUCUCUUUGUGGCCCACAAACACUUUGUGCCAGGAUAACCAAGUAUGAAUUCUCACUGCUCUUUACCCUGCUCAAGAGAAGAUGGCUGUACUGUGAGGGCAGGUGGGGGCAGGGACGAGGGUCAGGAGCAAGGGCAGAGUGCUUGGAGGUCUUUUCCCUCGUGCCUUGAGAUCGCUUGCUGCGGUUCUGGCCAGGCCGGACCGAAGCAGCUGCUCUCGACGAGUGAGUGUUCAGUGCUAGAUGUUCAGCGCUCGGUUGCUCAGGGCAGCUCCUCCACAGGUCGUGUUUCCAGG